rnacentral:lncRNA from 1 species
UUUCAUUUCUCAAGCAAAACCUGACAACUGCUAAAUAUCAAAAGAGCAAUAUAUGGUACGAAUUCAUGAAAUAUUUUUAGCAUCUGUUCCCAAGAAAGCAUUCGGGGAGCAGACAACUGGAUAAAAAAGGGAGACAGGGACCGCAAAUAAUAAUAGUGCUUCCUAAGAACUGAUGACAAUAGACACUCUGUCUCCCGUACUAGGAAAAUACUCUAGUGUUUUAUUGCUAUGUUUAUUAUUUAGCCACAGGACGACUCACAGCCACUGAAAAUAUUCCACGGAAGGUCUAGCAGGCUGCAGAGUCCGACAAGGAUGUAUUUUAAAAGCGGGGAAAAAAAGCAUGGAAUUGGCUUCUCCUCCCCAUCUGAAAGGGGUACAAGAAGACCAGCGCCACUGGAGCUGGUGGGACUGGGACGAGGAUCAGCUCGAUGACCCUCCCCUGCAACUCUCCGCAGCGGUGAGCCAUGGAAAGCACAUUCCCUGUACCGUGCGAGGAUUGUAAUGCCACUUUCCUUCCCUUCCCGAGGUCCCUCUGUGGCCUCCCCGAGCACAGAGCUGCCUUUCCAACAGCCCCCGCUAUUUUUGGGGCCUCUUGAACAUCUCACCAGCUCGGCCUGGAAACGCCACGGGGGAAAACGCUGCCCAAGGUCUGCUCUGGGAGAGCAAAAUGAGAGCACUGGAUCGACCUGGAAGGCACAGAAAACCGUUUGCGUUGAAUUUAAAACACUCCUGAAGCUUAGGAAGAGUCCAUACGUGGAAGUGCUGGCAGAAUCGACCCGGAGGAGAGUUUUACUGACUUGUUAAGGUCCUAAGAUACACCUAGAGGCACCCGCAAAUGGACUUGGAAAGGUUUUGUUCCGCUUUUAUUGGAUCAAUAUCAGUCAGCUCCUCAUGUA